CAGUAGCCGCGGGAAUACAGAGGGUGCGAGCGUUAAUCGGAUUUACUGGGCGUAAAGCGUGCGUAGGCGGCUUCUUAAGUCGGUUGUGAAAGCCCUGGGCUCAACCUGGGAAUUGCAGUGGAUACUGGGUCACUAGAGUGUGGUAGAGGAUAGUGGAAUUUCCGGUGUAGCAGUGAAAUGCGUAGAGAUCGGAAGGAACAUCUGUGGCGAAGGCGACUAUCUGGGCCAACACUGACACUGAGGCACGAAAGCGUGGGGAGCAAACAGGAUUAGAUACCCCCGUAGUCCCUGUCUCUUAUAC
rnacentral:rRNA from 1 species